CUACCUUCAGCACAAAAGGGGACAAGUGAGACGGAUGAAGGGUACCUGCCCGAUGCAGUACCGAUUCUCAGCUCAGUACCGGUAGCUAGAGUCAAGUUCCGCAAAACCCGAGAGCUGCCCAAUUCGACUCUCUACUGAGUUCCGGUACCUCAAGUCCACUCCAAAGAUCUCCAAACUCAGUCACAAUCUUCAGAAUAGUAAAAAAAUACUAUUCUCUCACUAGAACUCCGCAAUUUGUAGAAGUUCAGUGUGCUACAAAUAUAUUCUAAAAGUAUGUAAUAUGUGUACAAACGAUGCAUAUAUUUCGAUAUUUAUACAAAUAUUGCACCAUUUGGAAUAAAAUAUUGCAUAAUUUGAAAAGAUGUUGUACUAUUUAAGAGAAUAUUGCACUCUUUUUUCAAAUUAAUUAUACUUUAUUUUUUUAUUGUCUUAAAUGAGAAUUCUCAUCUUUCGAGAAAAGUACGUACAAUUAUGACUUAGUAAUUAUCUUUUCUGAGAAAUUUGACAUUUUAUUUAAUAUACAAUGUAAUUUAAUUUUUAACAAAAAGAGUGUAAUGUACCAUCUAAAUGGUGUAACAUUCUCUCCUAAUAGUACAAUACUUAUAAAAAUAAUGUAAAUAUUUCCAAAUAGUGUAACAUAUGUAAUGUUUAUAUACAUAUUACAUGAUUUUAUAAUAUAUUAUAUAUUAGGGUAUAUUAUAAUAUACUAGUGUAGAAACCCGCGCGAUGCGGCGGAUAAAAAAUAUAAUAAAUUAUAAAUUAAAUAUACAAAUAAAAAUAUAAAAAUAUAGUAGAAAAUAAUUAAUAUUUGAUUGGUUAAUAAUAUAAAAAAUAUAUUAAAAAUUUUUUUAGAAUGAAAAUAUAAUCCAAGAGAGAACAAAGAAAGAAAACAAAAAAUAAACAAUAAGAGAAUAAAAAUUGUUGAUAGGAAUUAAAAAAAUAUAAUUUAAUGCAAGAAUAAAAGAGAAGAGAAAAUAUAAAAAUCAGAGAUGAUUUCGUUGGAGUUGGUUUUAUUACUUGAUGAAUUAACGUAAGAAGUAUUUGGAAGAAAAUUAGCUCCACCUUAAUUAAAAGAGAGAGAACAAUGGGCUCCACAAAAGAGGAGGGGAACAAAAGAGGAGGGGAACAGUCCGAUGAAAAAAAAGAUAACAUGAGAAAUAUUUGGAAGGAAGCGGUUCCAUCCUAAUUAAGAAGAGAGAAUAUGGGCUCCAUGCCUCCACUAACAUCCUAAUUAAGAAAAGAGAGAAUACAGGCUCCAUUAAUGUCACGCCCCGGGGUCCCUUUUUAGUUUAAAGCAUAGCGGAAAAGCAUCUGAAAUUUUUUUUUUUUGAAAACCUGACCCCAGAGUAUGCCAGAUCCGCCACAAAUAUAGGAGGUCCACUGUUCACACGGACAGAGUCUCCCCUGUAUUUGCACGGCGUCGCACAAGUACAAGAGUUCAAACAUGAUACAACCACAACCAGAUGAACAUACAAAUAACCAACAGUUAUACAUUCAUACACCAUUCACCACAGUUUCACAUUUAUACAUUCAAUAUUUAAAUAUAAAUCCACAUCUAUCAGUUAAAAUGUUUCCAACCACAGAAACAGGUUUUGAAAUAUUAAGAUACAAAAUCCACAAAAAACCUUUUGAAAACUGUUCCCUACACAGGAACUUUUAUCUUUUUAAAAACGGUACCACGAGGGGUAGAAAAUUAUUUUUAUUUUACAAAAUUCACAAACAAGUUUAUUACAUUCAUGAAAACCCAUAUUUUCAAAUGUAAUAAAAAUACUAAACCAUAUAAAC
rnacentral:lncRNA from 1 species